AUUGAACGCUGGCGGCAUGCCUUACACAUGCAAGUCGAACGGUAACGGGCCUUCGGGUGCCGACGAGUGGCGAACGGGUGAGUAAUACAUCGGAACGUGCCCGAUCGUGGGGGAUAACGAGGCGAAAGCUUUGCUAAUACCGCAUACGAUCUACGGAUGAAAGCAGGGGACCGCAAGGCCUUGCGCGGACGGAGCGGCCGAUGGCAGAUUAGGUAGUUGGUGGGAUAAAAGCUUACCAAGCCGACGAUCUGUAGCUGGUCUGAGAGGAUGAUCAGCCACACUGGGACUGAGACACGGCCCAGACUCCUACGGGAGGCAGCAGUGGGGAAUUUUGGACAAUGGGCGCAAGCCUGAUCCAGCCAUGACGCGUGCAGGAUGAAGGCCUUCGGGUUGUAAACUGCUUUUGUACGGAACGAAAAGCCUUCUUUUAAUACAGGAGGGUCAUGACGGUACCGUAAGAAUAAGCACCGGCUAACUACGUG
rnacentral:rRNA from 1 species